rnacentral:sRNA from 1 species
AACCACACGUUUCAUGCACGUACAAAACACAUCGACGUCAAGCAAACAAGAGAACAACAGCAGGCGGCAGGGUGAAAUGGAGUGCCGCACUUUAGUGCCUGCUGAUUGACAUAUGUAUGGCAGGAGAAAAUUGAAGAUUUGCGCGGACCACGCAAAAAUUCACAUGUGUACAUGGAGAUGGCCGAGUCCAUGAAGGAGGCUGGGCUUGAGCUUGGAUGGGGCGAGAUAAGGACAAAGCUCGAGAACAUGACCUAAAAAUACAGGAUUGAAGAAAAUAAAAUUGGACCGAGCGGGGGUGCUCCAUUUGGGUGGCAACAUUACGAUAAA